UGGGGAAUUUUGCACAAUGGGGGAAACCCUGAUGCAGCGACGCCGCGUGAUUUAGAAGGCCUUCGGGUUGUAAAAAUCUUUUCUAUGGGAAGAAAAUGACAGUACCAUAGGAAUAAGGACCGGCUAAUUACGUGCCAGCAGCCGCGGUAAUACGUAAGGUCCGAGCGUUGUCCGGAAUCAUUGGGCGUAAAGGGUACGUAGGCGGGUAAGCAAGUUAGAAGUGAAAUCCUAUAGCUCAACUAUAGUAAGCUUUUAAAACUGCUCAUCUUGAGGUAUGGAAGGGAAAGUGGAAUUCCUAGUGUCGCGGUGAAAUGCGCAGAUAUUAGGAGGAAUCCCGGUGGCGAAGGCGACUUUCUGGCCAUACCCUGACGCUGAGGUACGAAAGCGUGGGUAGCAAACAGG
rnacentral:rRNA from 1 species